CGACAUCGGUAGGACUUCGGGAUCCUCGUUCCUUCGACCGAGACCCAGGCUCGACUCCAGCUAGAAGCAAUUUUAUUUCCCCCUUUUCCCUUCACAGCGACGCAGGCAGCGCGCCCUCCCUCCCGAGCCACGUCAGUUUCUCCCGUAUGCGGCGGCGCCGCAGGCGGCCGAUGCGCACAACCUGGCAGCCGGCACAGGUGGCGGCGCCCUCCUCCUCUGUCCGGCGCAGGUGGAAGAGCUCGCACAGUACACGUCGGCUCUCGGGGAGCUCACGUUCAACUCCGAUCCGUCCAAUGAAGUGCUCUAAUUCCUGAUCUUUUAUUUUUUGCGCGAUGCUUUGGCUCAAUCUGGUACUUAUUGAAGCUGCCGCUGAAGAACAUGUACUGCGUGUUCGCGUAGCCGGCGGCGAGCCACGAAGCGAUGGAGCAGUUGUGCAUGUUCGGCUGCUGUUCUUGCUUGCGUGCCUGGAGGAGCACCAAAGACUGUGGAUGCUCUAAUGGAUGGCCAGUCAGAUUCGAUGUACUGUAUGUUUCAUGUUUGCAAAGGUUGUGUGUGUCCUGUGCAAAUUUGGUGCAUGAGUAAAUUCAUAUCGCUCAAUUUUGGUACGAGGCAUAAGUUACUUCAAUCUGAUUCUGUGUUGAUGUGCCAAAAUAUCGUGUGCUUGUGGUCAGAAUUACUUGAUUUGUUGUGCCGGAA